rnacentral:rRNA from 1 species
AUUGAACGCUGGCGGCAGGCUUAACACAUGCAAGUCGAGCGGAGAUGAGGUGCUUGCACCUUAUCUUAGCGGCGGACGGGUGAGUAAUGCUUAGGAAUCUGCCUAUUAGUGGGGGACAACAUUCCGAAAGGAAUGCUAAUACCGCAUACGUCCUACGGGAGAAAGCAGGGGAUCUUCGGACCUUGCGCUAAUAGAUGAGCCUAAGUCGGAUUAGCUAGUUGUUGGGGUAAAGGCCUACCAAGGCGAAGAUUCGUAGCGGGUCUGAGAGGAUGAUCCGCCACACUGGGACUGAGACACGGCCCAGACUCCUACGGGAGGCAGCAGUGGGGAAUAUUGGACAAUGGGGGGAACCCUGAUCCAGCCAUGCCGCGUGUGUGAAGAAGGCCUUAUGGUUGUAAAGCACUUUAAGCGAGGAGGAGGCUACUGAGACUAAUACUCUUGGAUAGUGGACGUUACUCGCAGAAUAAGCACCGGCUAACUCUGUGCCAGCCGCCGCCGUAAAAC